rnacentral:rRNA from 1 species
CCCUUAGAUGUUCUCGGCCGCACACGCGCUACACUGAAAGAGGCAACGUGUUUGCCUGAUUCGAAAGAAUUGGGUAACCCCCUAAUCUCUUUCGUGCUGGGGAUUGAGGUUUGCAAUUAUCCUUCAUGAACGAGGAAUUCCCAGUAAGUGCGAGUCAUUAUCUCGCGCUGACUACGUCCCUGCCCUUUGUACACACCGCCCGUCGCUACUACCGAUUGAAUGGUCCGGUGAAGCGUUCGGACCGUGGCCUUUGGACGGUUCGCCGUCUGUUGGCUGCGGGAAGUUCGUUAAACCUUAUCAUUUAGAGGAAGGAGAAGUCGUAACA